rnacentral:lncRNA from 1 species
UUACAGACUCUUGGCAGUAACUAAUACACCUGUAGCAAAAGUGGUUGAAGUUCCUUGGGCUACUCUGUUGAAAUAGGAACUUCUAGUUAAGACCAUGUCUUCUUUGUUCACCAUUGAACAGUACUCAGCUAAGCACAGGGCACGUAUUGAGUACUCAACCAGUAUGUGAGGAAAGACUGGUUAGAGGUAUAAAUGAAUGAAUGAAUGUUGCCAUCCCAUUAUUGAUGCUCUCCAAACUCUUCACUACAAAUGGAGUCAGUUCCAGAAUCCAAAGCCAGCAUUCUUCUCCUGAUUAUGACAUGCACCAAAGAGGCAUCCCCUGAGCUGGAUGUUUAAAUCAGAGCCCACAGCUGAAGUGAGCACCAAGAUGUACUGAGCAAGUGUGGACUCUUACUGAUCCAAGUGGUGAGGCUCUUACAAUGGGCAAGGGCAGAGGGCAUGCGAUAUGUAGGUAACUAUUGUUAGCAUUCCUGAAUCUUCUCCUGUUCUUUAGGCAGCAGCAGCUUCAAGGGUGAACUGUUGCUCAGCAGAGAAAUGGCAGGAAAAAAUAGGACAUUCGCUUCUGGCCUUAGUCCUGUUGGAACACAAAAAGUGGAGUCUGCAAUGCUGUUGGAGGCUCAACAGGUCAAAUACAUCAGUAAUGGGCAUGGUAUGGCUGGGGUCAUACGGAGACAGUCCUUAGAGCACUGAAAAUGUGAUCAUCCUGAAUCCCAUAAGGAUCCUUAUGAGGUUAGAAGGGACAAUGUGGCUCCACUUUGAUGACUGACAGCAGUUGCUUUGUACUCCCAUAGGUAUAAGGGGAAAAUCUUUUGCAGAAUUCACUCAGCAAGUCAAUCAACAAGAAGACACACAUCCUUGGGGAACAAGGGGUGCUUUCCUCACAGAAAGUUGUUUCCAAUAAACCAAUUUCUGCUGCUUAGCAACCUUGAUGAUGCCUUUUCCACAAUUACAGCUAAAUAGAAUCCUCUAUUGUCUACAGGAGAUUAAGUGUAUGCUUUCAUGAGUCAGAAGAAAGUAUCAGAAAAAGUUGUACUCAAGCUUUAGAUGAAUGUAAAAAUACUGCACAAGGAGCAAAAACAGGAGGCAUGCCCUGGUUGUGUUGUAUGAUGAAUAUAGCUAUUUUAUUCAUGCUUUGGGGUUUGAUGUUUGUUUUGGGAGUUAGUCGUAAAGAGCU